rnacentral:rRNA from 1 species
ACGCUGGCGGCAGGCCUAACACAUGCAAGUCGAGCGCGAAAGGCUUUCGGGCUGAGUAGAGCGGCGGACGGGUGAGUAACGCGUAGGAAUCUACCUGGUAGUGGGGGACAACUUGGGGAAACUCAAGCUAAUACCGCAUACGCCCUAUGGGGGAAAGUGGGGGACCUUCGGGCCUCACGCUAUCGGAUGAGCCUGCGUAGGAUUAGCUUGUUGGUGAGGUAAAGGCUCACCAAGGCGACGAUCCUUAGCUGGUCUGAGAGGAUGAUCAGCCACACUGGAACUGAGACACGGUCCAGACUCCUACGGGAGGCAGCAGUGGGGAAUAUUGCGCAAUGGGCGAAAGCCUGACGCAGCCAUGCCGCGUGUGUGAAGAAGGCCUUAGGGUUGUAAAGCACUUUCAAUUGGGAAGAAAAGUUGGUCGUUAAUAGCGGCCAGCCCUGACAUUACCUUUAGAAGAAGCACCGGCUAACUCCGUGCCAGCAGCCGCGGUAAUACGGAGGGUGCGAGCGUUAAUCGGAAUUACUAGGCGUAAAGCGCGCGUAGGCGGUUUGUUAAGUCAGCUGUGAAAGCCCCGGGCUCAACCUGGGAACUGCAGUUGAUACUGGCCGACUAGAGUAUGAAAGAGGGAGGUAGAAUUCCAUGUGUAGCGGUGAAAUGCGUAGAUAUAUGGAGGAAUACCAGUGGCGAGGCGGCCU